AUUGAACGCUGGUGGCAUGCCUUACACAUGCAAGUCGAACGGCAGCGCGGGAGCAAUCCUGGCGGCGAGUGGCGAACGGGUGAGUAAUAUAUCGGAACGUGCCCAGUAGUGGGGGAUAGCCCGGCGAAAGCCGGAUUAAUACCGCAUACGACCUACGGGUGAAAGGGGGGGAUUGAAAGACCUCUCGCUAGUGGAGCGGCCGAUAUCAGAUUAGGUAGUUGGUGGGUUAAAGGCCUACCAAGCCUGCGAUCUGUAGUUGGUCUGAGAGGACGACCAGCCAUACUGGGACUGAGACACGGCCCAGACUCCUACGGGAGGCAGCAGUGGGGAAUUUUGGACAAUGGGGGCAACCCUGAUCCAGCAAUGCCGCGUGCAGGAAGAAGGCCUUCGGGUCGUAAACUGCUUUUGUCAGGGGAGAAAUCUUCUGGGCUAAUACCUCGGGAGGAUGACGGUACCUGAAAAAUAAGCACCGGCUAACUACGUGCCAGCCGCCGCCGUAAAAC
rnacentral:rRNA from 1 species